UACGGGGGGGGCAAGCGUUGUUCGGAAUUAUUGGGCGUAAAGGGCGCGUAGGCGGCUGUACAAGUCAAAGGUGAAAUCCCUCGGCUCAACUGAGGAACUGCCUUUGAAACUGUACGGCUUGAGGCCGGGAGGGGGUAGCGGAAUUCCCAGUGUAGCGGUGAAAUGCGUAGAUAUUGGGAGGAACACCAGUGGCGAAGGCGGCUACCUGGACCGGUUCUGACGCUGAGGCGCGAAAGCGUGGGUAGCAAACAGG
rnacentral:rRNA from 1 species